rnacentral:tRNA from 1 species
AUCGGCGAGCUUCGGUAGCGCGGCGGUCUCCAAAACCGUUCGCAGGGGGUUCGACACCCUCCGCCGGUG